UGGGGCGUGGCCAAGU
rnacentral:tRNA from 1 species